CUGGAGGAUGUAUAGCAAUUGCUAUUUGCAUUAAAAGUUUUAGUGUAAAAUCGACUUUGUCGAAUAAAAUUCUGGGUAUAAUUAUGAUAAUGACAUUACCUACUCAUAAGUCUUGACCAAAUUACGUGCCAGCAGUCGCGGUAAUACGUAGAAGACAAGUGUUAUUCAUCUUUAAUAGGUUUAAAGGGUACUUAGACGGUAAAUAAAGCCUCCAAAAGGUACUAGUUUGCUAGAGUUUUAUAUGAAGGAGUUUUAAAGUACUACUGGUGUAGAGAUGAAAUUCAGUUAUACCUUACAUGGCACAGGUUAAGGCGAAAGCAUCUUCUUAUGUAAAAACUGACGUUGAAGGACGAAGGCUUUGUGUCUCGAACAGGAUUAGAUACCCUAGUAGUCUAAGCAGAAAAUGAUGAAUGUCAUAGAUUAGAUUUAAUUUGAUCUAUAAAUGAAAGUGUAAGCAUUCCACCUCAAGAGUAAUUUGGCAACAUUGGAACUGAAAUCAUUAGACCGUUUCUGAAACCAGUAGUGAAGUAUGUUGUUUAAUUUGAUAAUCCGCAAAAAACCUUACCACAAUUUGAAUAGAUAUAUUUUAUCAUACAAGCGUUGCACGGCUGUCUUCAGUUAAUGUCGUGAGACUUUGGUUAGUUCCAUUAAAUUAACGUAAACCCUUACUUUAUUUUUAUAUAAAGUAGUUCACCGCUAUAUUGGAUGUGAUAAUAGGGAUCAAGACAAGUCAUCAUGACCUA
rnacentral:rRNA from 1 species